AUGAUGGCGCGGCUGACGGCAGAGCGCUGGCACAGCAACACGCCGCAAACAAGGAGCGAGCGUGUAAACUACAGCAAACAAAGCCCCGACGCCGGAUCCUCCCACCUGCACGACAGCGCUGAUGAAACACACAGUAACAGAGCAGCCAUUAGCUGCGAGCGGCGGAACAACGUGGGGGGGGCGUCGCACACACACACACACGCUCGAACAUACACACACACACACGCUCGAACAUACACACACAUGCUCACACACACACACGCUCGAACAUACACACACACACACGAACAUACACACGCACACACACACACACGCUCGAACAUACACACACACACACACAAACAUACACACACACACACGCUCGAACAUACACACGCACACACGCUCGAACAUACACACACAUGCUCACACACACACACGCUCGAACAUACACACACACACACGAACAUACACACGCACACACACACACACGCUCGAACAUACACACACACACACACAAACAUACACACACACACGCUCGAACAUACACACACACACACGCUCGAACAUACACACACAUGCUCACACACACACACGCUCGAACAUACACACACACACACGAACAUACACACGCACACACACACACACGCUCGAACAUACACACACACACACACAAACAUACACACACACACGCUCGAACAUACACACGCACACACGCUCAAACAUACACACACACACACGCUCGAACAUACACAAACACACACACAAACAUACACACACACACGCACGAACAUACACACACACACACACAAACAUACACACACACACACGCUCGAACAUACACACACACACACGAACAUACAGACGCACACACACACACACACACACACACGCACGCACACACACACACACACACACACACACACACACGCACGCACGCACACACACACCAGCGUGUUCGUUAUCAUCCUGGUUGUGUUGUUUUCUCCCACUCCUCACACAUCCUCCUCUUUGCAUAGUGGGGCUUUGUUACCUGCACAGGGUGACAGGCUAAAGGCACCGACGGCCAAAUCUCUGCCAAUGAGGCAAUAA
rnacentral:lncRNA from 1 species